CUUUUAAAAAUAUUUUGUAGUAAUAAAGUUAAUAAUUCGACCGAAUGGUUCGAAUCGUUAAUUAUCUUACAUAAAAUUAAUAUUUCACAAACAGGGAAAACUGGCCUAGGUUAUAUUCAAUCUCGAAUCAUCAAAUGGUAUAACCUAUUGACUUUGAAAGAGAGUGCAGACUCACGGAAACCCAAACACCCUUAACUUUGUUAUUACAAAGUUACACAUACACGUACGGGAUUGGUCUUAAAACUAUAGGAAACCCUUUCAAAUGGCCCUGCAUGGUUACUGCUCACAUGCUUAUGAUAAAAUGAUCUAGCUCAAAUUUUUAGUUGGUGAAAAUAACACAAAAUACCUGAUACUAAUAAUGUUUUCAGGUUUGGUUUUUUACCAUCGAAUAGAUAAUAAAUGCUAAAAAACUUUUCAGAUGUUACCAGUUAUUAGUUAUCAGUUACCAGUUAUCUGUUAUCAGUUAUUACAAUAAUAAUAAAAAAUGUCGGGUAAACGACAUUGUACUGAAUAAAUAUUAGUCUGGUUACAUAGUAAUCGAAUAUUCAGCUCUAUAUUUCAGCGCCUGUGUAGUACCAAGUAAAUCUACCACGAGCUUCGGAUUGGAAGAUCUGUACAGAAAUGUAGUAGGUAUCAGGUAAGGUAUAAAUUUCUUAUAAAAAUAUCUUGUAGUAAUAAUUGUUAAUAAUUCGACCGAAUAGUUCGAAUGGUUAAUUAUCUUACAUAAAAUUAAUAUUUCAUAAAUAGGGAAAACUGGCCUAGGUUAUAUUCAAUCUCGAAUCAUCAAAUGGUAUAACCUAUUGACUUUGAGAGUGAGUGCAGACUCACGGAAACCCAAACACCCUUAACUUUGUUAUUACAAAGUUACACAUACACGUACGGGAUUGGUCUUAAAACUAUAGGAAACCCUUUCAAAUGGCCCUGCAUGGUUACUGCUCACAUGCUUAUGUAAAAAUGAUCUAGCUCAAAUUUUUAGUUGGUGAAAAUAACACAAAAUACCUGAUACUAAUAAUGUUAUCAGGUUUGGUUUUUUACCAUCGAAUAGAUAAUAAAUGCUAAAAAACUUUUCAGAAGUCAUCAGUUAUCACAAUAAUAAUAAAAAAUGUCGGGUAAACGACAUUGUAUCGAAUAAAUAUUAAUCUGGUUACAUAGUAAUCGAAUAUUCAGCUCUAUAUUUCAGCGCCUGUGUAGUACUAAGUAAAUCUACCACGAGCUUCGGAUUGGAAGAUCUGUACAGAAAUGUAGUAGGUAUCAGGUAAGGUAUAAAUUUCUUAUAAAAAUAUCUUGUAGUAAUAAUUGUUAAUAAUUCGACCGAAUAGUUCGAAUGGUUAAUUAUCUUACAUAAAAUUAAUAUUUCAUAAAUAGGGAAAACUGGCCUAGGUUAUAUUCAAUCUCGAAUCAUCAAAUGGUAUAACCUAUUGACUUUGAGAGUGAGUGCAGACUCACGGAAACCCAAACACCCUUAACUUUGUUAUUACAAAGUUACACAUACACGUACGGGAUUGGUCUUAAAACUAUAGGAAACCCUUUUAAAUGGCCCUGCAUGGUUACUGCUCACAUGCUUAUGUAAAAAUGAUCUAGCUCAAAUUUUUAGUUGGUGAAAAUAACACAAAAUACCUAAUACUAAAAUACUAAAAUACUUAAUAAUGUUUUCAGGUUUGGUUUUUUACCAUCGAAUAGAUAAUAAAUGCUAAAAAACUUUUCAGAUGUUACCAGUUAUUAGUUAUCAGUUACCAGUUACCAGUUAUCUGUUAUCAGUUAUUACAAUAAUAAAAAAAAAUGGGUUAACAACAUUGUACCGAAUAAAUAUUAAUUUGGUUAAAUAUUAAUCGCAUAUUCAGCUCUAUUUUUCAGCGCCCGUGUAGUACCAAGUAAAUCUACCACGAGCUUCGGAUUGGAAGACCUGUACAGAAAUGUCGUAGAUUUUAGGUUUGCUGGAGAACUCUGAAAGUAUCUCAUCGACAACCGAAGACUACUCAAAAAGUACAUUUCGACGCGAUUUCAAAUUCUUUAAAGAGAUUCGAGUUCUUUGGCUACCAACACCGACAUUGAUUGUAAUAAUCUCAUCACGACCAAUCCGUUAUUAUAUUCGAGUUGUUAUAACUGAAAGUGAUAAAAGCGAUUCGAUGACAGUCCUACACCUCCGCCGCCACUGAACGUCGUAUAUGAAUGAGUGCUAACGUGCAAGUCAAGCGACAUUAAGUGUUUUUCUAUGGUCAACGUUGUAGGUAACCUAUAACAGCUUAUGUUAUGUUUGUAUUGUAUACAUUUGUCGCGUAAACUACUCUGGGUCAUUUUUUUGUUCGAUAUCUGAGCGUUUUCUGCAAGUCCUUUCAUCGAUAAACUUAAUGUAAACCGACACAAAUCCCACUCAAUGAGCGUGCAUAAAUUAACUUAAAUUAAGGCGACUGUUGUGAAUGGUAAUGAUUUUUGGCAACGUUUUUCAUCAUUACCAUUAGGUUAACGUAACUACACUUUUGUAUUGUAAACUACACAGAGUCUUCAUAAUUUUACAUUAUAAAAAUUUUAAAAUCAAAUAUAUUUUAUGCAAAGCUCAGAAAAAUCCCUAAUUCAUUCAUAAUUGCGAAAGAAGAACAAGACGACAGCUUCGCCGACAAAGAAGAGUGACGGAUCGUUGACCACAGACCAAGAAGAAGCGACCAUGAAGAACCUUAUCGCAAUAAUUUUUUUUUUAACUUGUUAUUGGUUUCUCGUGUUUCUAUGUACCAUCUUUCGACUUCGGAUGAUGCUCAAUGACCCAGAUGCUUAUUAUAAUAGAUUUUUUACACAAACAUACUC